UGAGUCCUCCGGGUGACCGCGGUCGGGGUGUUUCGGCACACCCGGCUGAGGAAGGUCGGGGCUCCACAGGACGACGGUGCUGGCGAGAGCCAGGCGGGGGUGACCUCGCGGACCGGGCAACAGAGAGCAGACCGCCGAUGGCCGGGUUCGCCCGGCACAGGUGAGGCUGAAACGGUGCGGUAAGAGCGCACCAGCGGUCGGGGUGACCCGGCCGGCUAGGCAACCCCCACCGGGAGCAAGGCCAAACAGAGGGCAGGGCGGUCCGUCCGCCCCUCUUCGGAGGGACCCUCAGGUGGGCCGCACAGAUGGAUGGUCACCGAACCGGACCCCCGCAAGGGACCGGGGAACAGAACCCCGCCUACAGGGGGGCUCACCGU
rnacentral:RNase_P_RNA from 1 species